AUGCGGUGCAACGGCACACAGAGCAGGGCCUUUCCCUGCUCACGGGUAAAAGAAGGAGAGGAAAUCAGAUGCCUUGUUGGGGGAAAUAGCUUUAGCAGAUGGGGAAAAGAGUGUGGAGUCAGGGCCUUAUUUAGAGAGAGCGGACCAGACGAGAGACGGUCAUUCUCAUCUCUCAAAGCACCAUGUCACACCGCCGACGUCUCGGGACAAUCCCAUCAUCCUCUAAUCAGGCCAACUCUAACUCGAUCCCAUGUCCAUCCUCGAGCAAGGGUCGUGACGCAGGCUCGGGACAAUAGAAGGAUAUUGAAACACUUCGGCAUUUACUUGAAAGUCCCGAUCGCUCCUGCCAGAUCAGUCAGCGCUGGACUUGUGUCUCCUCAGACGGCGCUCUGCAAAGACAUGUCAAAGUGUGUUGGCAAAUGUGUACCUGCUUGACAUUAAAAGAAUAGGUCAUUUAAAAAUACUAUUUACUCACCCUCAUCCAAACUUGUAUGGCGUUCAUUUUUCUGGAACACAAAUGGGGAAAUUUUGAGUUGCCAUAAAAUAUUGCAGCCACAAAUAUUAAUUAAUUUUUAAGAUUUUAGCAAAGUUUUUAAAGUAUUUUUGUCCUAUUUAGAUCUUGACAGACAUUGCAUGGAAUCUUUUGGGGGUUUUAAAGCUUUCGAUGCCGAAGACCCUCAAAUAAAAUGAUUCCCUUGUGAGAGACCCCUUAGUAAAAUAUAAACACUUCUAUAUAUUUUCAUUUAUAAAGACUCAUUAAUUCUGUGUUAGAAAAAUAAAUAAUAUUAGAUUAAUUAAUAAUAAUAUAAGAUUAUUAAAUAAUAUUAAGAUUAGUUUGAUCAAAUAUACAGAAAAAAACAGUGAUAUUGUGAAAUAUUAUUGCAAUUUCUAAUAUUAGUUUCCUAUUUUAAAAUACUUUAAAAUAACAUUUAUUUCUGUGAUGCAGAGUGGAAUGAUCCUUCAGAAAUCAUUUUAAUAUUCUAAUAUGAUUUCUGAAGGAUCAUGAGACACUGAAGUCUGAAAUCAGCUUUGCUUCACAGCAAUAAAUUAUAUUUUAAUUUAUAUUAAAAUAGAAAACUGUUAUUUUAAAUAGCAGUAAUAUUUCACAAAAUUAUUUUUUUUCUGUAUUUUUCAUCAAAUAGAUACAGCCUUGAUGAGCAUAAGAAACUUCUUUAAAAAAUUAUAAAAUCUAUUUUGUACAGCAGUGUAAAUACACAAUAAAUUUACAAUAAUUAAAUCAAAAAAGAAAAAUUAGAAAGCAAAAAUGAAACAGUAAUAUUAUCAAAUUAUAACUUUAAAAAAUGAAAGAGAUUACUUUUAUUCAACAAGGAUGCAUUAAAUCAUAGAUCAGUGACAGAAAAUACUUUUCUAUUUCAAAUAAAUGAUGAAAUAUUAAUAUAAUAAGAAAUGUUUAAACAAAAUCAGCAUAUUAGAAUGAUUUCUGAGUGAUAAUGUGACACUGAAGACUGGAGUAAUGUUGCAGAAAAUUGACCUUUGCAUCACAGAAAUAAAUUACAUUUUAAAAUAAAUUCUCAUAGAAAGCACUUAUUUAAAAUGUUAAUAAUAUUUCAGGAAAUUACGGUUUUACUGUAUUUUAGCUCAAAGAAAGGCAGCCUAGGCAAGCAUAAGAGACUUUCAAAAACAUUUUAAAAAAUCUUGCCAACCUCAAACCUUUAAACAGUAUGUUAAUAUUUUGUGUAUUAUAUGCAUAUAUAAUUUUGUAAUACUUUUACUACUAAUUUUUACAUUUACAGUCUUUUUAAGUUUUUAUUAUUAUUAUUAUUAUUAUUAUUAUUAUUAUUAUUAAAAUUAGUAGCCUGGACCCUAGUUUGAAAUGAAAUUGACAUACAUACAGAGCACAUAUUGUGGAUAAGCAGUAAAAUCAGUAUAAGAUGCUUUCAUCCAUGAUCUCUGUAAGGUACUGUGGGAAAUAUCAGUGAAACCUGCUGAGUUAGCAUUGUCAUUCUGAUUACGCACACCGUAAUAAUAUACAGAAUGAUGAAUCAAUUUCAACUUGUUGACAGCAAAAUGCCAAGUUGCUGUAAUAAAAAAGACAUGAUGUUGAGGAUUUGUAUGAGCAAAUAGUCAGAACCACUAAAAAUCCAGUGAUCUCAGCACCCUUUGCUUCAUAUUAGUAUCAGUCGCACCAUCACUUGCUCUGGCCCGAGUUUUUUUGACACAUGAUGAAUCUCAGGCGAGUUUUACUGAGUGUAUGAGGGUUACAUAAGCAGGGGCGGGAGAAUGAAGCGUAAGCUUUAAACCGAAGAGACAGAUCCAGGUCCAGCCCCUAUCCAGACCCUCUCCAGAGAUUCAUUAAGGACAGAGAACGAGGGGAAGAAACUUCCUGUCUGACCCAACAUCUGCAUGGCUGGUCCGAGAGAGAGAGAGAUGAGGAAUAUUUGUGGGGACAAAAAGAAAGUCUCUAUAAAACUUUCUUAUAAUAGGUAAUUUCCCUGCAUAUUGCAGAUGUGGAUGACUGUAACGCACAAAAAAUUCAGUGGAACUUCACUUCACGGAGACAUACCUCAUUGUCAGGUCGCUUGGCCGAGUUUGAAUACAAUUCAUGAUUUAAGGAACAAUAGGGAGUUUUGUCAGACAGACGGGGGCGUAGAAUAACUUCUCACCGGAAAGCAAAGCGUAGGACGAUCUCGAAGGGACGUGAGCGUGCUUCAUUAGAACUGCAUUAUGAAACAAUGAAACAAGAUUCUCUACUGUCACUGGAAUAUGGAAAUUCAAACAGAUAUUGGCCAAGCAUGUGUUAGCCCACUUUCCAAGGCAGAACAAAGCAGGAAAGAUCUAAACUCUAGAUUCCAAGACAUUUUCACAGGAAAUCGAGUCAACUGCACGUGGAUGUAGCCGGAAAUGCUUAGGAUCACAAAGCGUGUGUGAAAACACUCACCCAAAAGUGAGAAAGCAGCUAUAAAGAGACACCUGGAAAGCAUGGGGUGUAAAUUUGGGCCCACAAGGACAUAUUUGUGUAAUUUGUAGUCACAGCAAUCAAAUCAUUUACUAAAACAUUUAUUUUUUUUGCAAAAUUAAAUUUCAUUAUUUUAAUUAAUUGAUUCAGCAAAGACAUAUUCAAUUGAUCAAAAGUGACCAAAAAGACUUUUCCGAUGUUAAAAGGUUUCUAUGUUAAAAAAAAUAUAUAUAUUUUUAAGCAGAAUAACUAUAGAAGCCUGUUUCUGCCACAGGAGUUUAUAUACCCACAAUUCAGUAUUUUUUUCUCUACAAAAUUUAAAAAAAAUAAAAAUAAAAAAAAAAUUGCAAGAUACUGUCAGAAUUUUGAGAUUCGGAGGGUGUUUUUGUCGUUGUCGUUGUUUUUGUUUUUUGUUUUUUUGUGAAAAGUGCACUAUAAACUAAUCGCAAAUGUGGAAAAAAAAUAUUGUGAUAAAUCUGCAAUUACCUUUUUAAAAAACAAAAAAUAUUCCAUGGCAGAAAAAAAGAAAAAUGCAAGAAUUGCAAAAUGUGAUUUUUCUUUAGAAAAAAAAGGCAGACUUGUGAGAUGUUAACUUAGAAUUGUGAGAUGUAAACUCUAGAAUCCAGAAAAAAGUCAGAACUGCGAGAUGUUAACUCAGAACUGCAAAAUGUAAACUCAGAAUUCAGAAGAAAAGUCAGAAUUGUGAGACAAACUCAGAAUUCUAAAAGUUUACAUUUGAAGGUUACAUUUCACAAUGUUUUUUCUCUCACAAUUCUGAGUUUACAUCUCUCAACUCUGAAUUUUUUACUUCCGAGUUCACAUUUCACAAUUUGGACAUUUUCCCCAGAAUUCGUAGUUUAUAUUUCACAAUUCCGAGUUUACAUCUCACAAUUCUGACUUUUCACAAUUAUAACUUUUCUCUCAGAAUUCUGAGUUUGUCUCGCAAUUCUGACUUUUCAGAAUUGUGAGACAAAAAGAUGCAAUUACCGUUUUUUAUUUUUUAUCCUGUGGCAGAAAUGAGCUUCCAUAGUUUUGACUGUAUAUUUUUAAAAUAUAUUGCAUUUUAAAUACUUUUCUUUCAAUAAAAAGUUUAAAAAGUGCAAAAUGAUUGUUAUUAACAAUCAUUACAGAAUAUAUCCUCUUUCCUUUUCUUUCUCACGGAAUGCCAGCCUUGAAUUUCGUUGAUUCUCCCAUCUCAAUCUGGUGUUCUGUUCCUGAGAGCAACAAACUGUACUGACAGCAUCACAAAUCAAGCAGAUGAAUUAUUUACUGCACUCUCACACUUUCACAUCAGUCACAGAGCGCACAAAGGCAAAUCCUGUUGCUGUGUAAUCAAGACAUCAUUAUCCUUCCACCUUCAUAAAUAAACAGUUUAAAAAGACGGGCGGAAGCAGAUAAUGAACGUGUCUCUGAGUGUGUGUGCAUAUCGAAGUUUGCCAAGACACGA
rnacentral:lncRNA from 1 species